UAAAUCUCAUCUCUCUGCUUUUAUAUUUCUGAAAGCUGGAAGCUGAAAUCCUAUAAUUGAUCUACAAUAGUGGGAAAGACAGAUUGAGUAUAAAUAGAAUCCUUGAAAAAAUCAAACAUGUUUACCCUUUUAUCUCUUUACAGCAAGAUUCUGUUACGCUUUUGAACUCGGGAGUACUUAAGUUCUAGGACUCUUUGUCAGAUCUGAACAUUUUAAGGCGGUUACUCUGAAAGUCGAGAACCUUUUCUCUCUACCUCUCCCAGUUCUCGAAUUCCAUCCAAACCCAGAAGAUAUUCACAAUUGUGAGAGCUACCCAUUUCUCAUAACGGUGCCACAAAUUAUGGGUCCUCCUUGGUUUCUUAGAAUUCUCACGGUUUCUUGCUUUCUGGCUCUGUUUUUCUCUCAAGGUUUUGGGAGAAAUUUGAUGGAGAGAGGUGAUCAGCAUGGGGACUCUUCAUUCCCAAUAGAGGAAAUUGAUCAAAGUGUUAGGAAGAUGUAUGAAGUGAUGGACUAUUCAGAUCCGGAGCCGAAUGUGAACCCAAGAACAGGGUACAUCUUCACCCCUCCUCCUCAGCCCAAUAACUAAGAUCAUCAUGAUCAACAAUUUGUUUCUAGAAAUAAAGUCAUAUCAUGAUCACCAUGAAGGUUUUUUUGUGUUCUACUUUCUUUUUGUCUUUCAGUUUUGUUCAUGAUCACUAUGAAAUCUCAGUUCAUUUCCUAGUUCCCCCAAUUUGUCUAGGGUAAUAUGCUUUGGUUUCCUGACUUUCCUCAGCUCUGAAUGUUCAUGUUCUUUUUGUCGAACUUGUGAUUAUGACACUGCUAUUUCAGAAUUUACAGAAGGCUUAUAUCAUUCAUGGAAUCUAUUUGUUUUGGAUAACAUUUGACAAUUGACACUGAUCUAGUCUGAUAUAUAUUGGCAAGUGUGGCAAUAUACAAAUAUUUGACUAUACUCCAUGAGGUACCAUUUGACUGUACUUUGAGGUUUUGAUCCCUGAAUUGAUCACAGUCUUGUAAGCAUGGAAGACUUGGGAGUGAAAAAUAUAGAUAGAUAAACCAAUCUUGUGGUUGGAUUCGAUGUUACUGUCGCAUAAAU